GUGUGUGUGUGUGUGUGUGUAUGGACUCAGCAGUCUGUGUGUGUGUAUGGACUCAGCAGUCUGUGUGUGUGUGUGUAUGGACUCAGCAGUCUGUGUGUGUGUAUGGACUCAGCAGUCUGUGUGUGUGUAUGGACUCAGCAGUCUGUGUGUGUGUAUGGACUCCGCAGUCUAUCAAUAAUUAAAAUUCCUGUGAGUUGUUGUGUAGGAAGGGCCCCAGUGUAUUGCUUUGCCCAAGGGCCUUAACUCUGUUAAAAUGGUACUGCUUGUGUGUGUCAGUGAGCUCCUAUUUAGUGAGCAUGUGUGUGUCAGUGAGCUUGUCUUUAGUGAGCUUGUGUGUGUGUCCCUGAACUUCUUUGUAGUGAGCCUUCUGUUUAUACAAG